rnacentral:misc_RNA from 1 species
GAUGAAGAACGUAGCGAAAUGCGAUAAGUAAUGUGAAUUGCAGAAUUCAGUGAAUCAUCGAAUCUUUGAACACACAUUGCGCCCGCCAGUAUUCUGGCGGGCAUGCCUGUUCGAGCGUCAUUACAACCCUCAGGCCCCCGGGCCUGGCGUUGGGGAUCGGCGGAAGCCCCCUGCGGGCACAACGCCGUCCCCCAAAUACAGUGGCGGUCCCGCCGCAGCUUCCAUUGCGUAGUAGCUAACACCUCGCAACUGGAGAGCGGCGCGGCCACGCCGUGAAACCCCCAACUUCUGAAUGUUGACCUCGGAUCAGGUAGGAAUACCCGCUGAACUUGAGCAUAUCAAUAAGCGGAGGA